UACGUAGGGUGCAAGCGUUGUCCGGAAUUAUUGGGCGUAAAGAGCUCGUAGGCGGUCUGUCGCGUCGGCUGUGAAAUCCCGAGGCUCAACCUCGGGUCUGCAGUCGAUACGGGCAAGCUAGAGUAUUGCAGGGGAGACUGGAAUUCCUGGCGUAGCGGUGAAAUGCGCAGAUAUCAGGAGGAACACCGGUGGCGAAGGCGGGUCUCUGGGCAAUAACUGACGCUGAGGAGCGAAAGCGUGGGGAGCGAACAGG
rnacentral:rRNA from 1 species